AUUGAACGCUGGCGGCAGGCUUAACACAUGCAAGUCGAGCGGGGGAAGGUAGCUUGCUACCGGACCUAGCGGCGGACGGGUGAGUAAUGCUUAGGAAUCUGCCUAUUAGUGGGGGACAACAUCUCGAAAGGGAUGCUAAUACCGCAUACGUCCUACGGGAGAAAGCAGGGGAUCUUCGGACCUUGCGCUAAUAGAUGAGCCUAAGUCGGAUUAGCUAGUUGGUGGGGUAAAGGCCUACCAAGGCGACGAUCUGUAGCGGGUCUGAGAGGAUGAUCCGCCACACUGGGACUGAGACACGGCCCAGACUCCUACGGGAGGCAGCAGUGGGGAAUAUUGGACAAUGGGGGGAACCCUGAUCCAGCCAUGCCGCGUGUGUGAAGAAGGCCUUAUGGUUGUAAAGCACUUUAAGCGAGGAGGAGGCUACUUUAGUUAAUACCUAGAGAUAGUGGACGUUACUCGCAGAAUAAGCACCGGCUAACUCUGUGCCAGCAGCCGCGGUAAUACAGAGGGUGCGAGCGUUAAUCGGAUUUACUGGGCGUAAAGCGUGCGUAGGCGGCUUAUUAAGUCGGAUGUGAAAUCCCCGAGCUUAACUUGGGAAUUGCAUUCGAUACUGGUGAGCUAGAGUAUGGGAGAGGAUGG
rnacentral:rRNA from 1 species